GACGAACGCUGGCGGCAUGCUUAACACAUGCAAGUCGAACGGAAAGGCCCUGCUUUUGUGGGGUGCUCGAGUGGCGAACGGGUGAGUAACACGUGAGUAACCUGCCCUUGACUUUGGGAUAACUUCAGGAAACUGGGGCUAAUACCGGAUAGGAGCUCCUGCUGCAUGGUGGGGGUUGGAAAGUUUCGGCGGUUGGGGAUGGACUCGCGGCUUAUCAGCUUGUUGGUGGGGUAGUGGCUUACCAAGGUUUUGACGGGUAGCCGGCCUGAGAGGGUGACCGGCCACAUUGGGACUGAGAUACGGCCCAGACUCCUACGGGAGGCAGCAGUGGGGAAUAUUGCACAAUGGGCGGAAGCCUGAUGCAGCAACGCCGCGUGCGGGAUGACGGCCUUCGGGUUGUAAACCGCUUUCGCCUGUGACGAAGCGUGAGUGACGGUAAUGGGUAAAGAAGCACCGGCUAACUACGUG
rnacentral:rRNA from 1 species